GUUGUUUUUUUAUUUUUAUUUUUAUUUUUUUUUAUUUAAAUAUGGUAAAGAAAUACAGAAUCUGAAGGGAAAAUUACAUGCUAGGUUGAAGUAAACUAAAUUCAGCCAUGGAUGGCUAGAAACAAGUUUUCUAGAUGUUUUAAUAAUUGAAGGCUAAAUGUCCAUCCACAUUACUUUGACAUUUUCUAAAAUUUUUGAAGUGUUGCCUUGAAUGUCAUUUUUAAUACACAUUUUCCUUCAACAAAACACAGGUAGCUAGAAGAAGGGAAAAGGAAAAGAAAAAUAUCAGUUUUCAAGUCAAGUGUGCUUUAAGUUGAUGCAGAAUUUAUUGCUUUGUUGAACUUCUCAUAUUCUUAUCCCCAAAUUUCUCUUACUGUGAAAUUUCAAGAGAUUUUUUUUUUUUUUCCAGUUUUUGUUCCAGCUAGCAAUCUGAAGAUUCUGUUACUGCAAGGUCUCUGAAUAGCACCCAGAAGAUGGAAAGUAUCUGCUUUUGAGUUGAAACCGGUACAUUUUUGGAGAACAUACUGUAGUGCAGGAAGAUGUAUUUCUUCCAUAAUAAGUAAUGCUCAGAAGAAAAACUUGUUCUUGAUAUACAUAAAUUUUUGGGAUGAGAAGAAAGGAGAAGAAACCUGUGAUGGAGACUUGAAAAAAAAAGUGAAUUUACUACCAGAGGACAACAGUAUCUAGACACAAAAAUAACAGAACAAAACAGAAAUUUACGGUUGUGGAGUGCUGUUGCCUGUCUUUCUGCUGAGGAUCAGUGUAAGCUCUGGGCCCAGGAAAUAUUUUUUGAGUGAUCUCUGUGUAAGAGGGGAGGUGGAAGUUUUGGUCUGCAUCUGCAUCCUUCUGUGCUAGUUCCUGGCCAACUGCAAAGCCCUCAGCUGCUGCUGCCCUGUUUCCGCAUAUGGCACCUGUGACUGUGAGGUACUGGGAUCUAAACAGAUUGUUUGAGAAUCUCUGCUCUGAUGUGUUUCUUUAUUUCUGUGUGAAAUAUCCUGC
rnacentral:lncRNA from 1 species